CUUUUAAAGGAUAAAAGUCAUCCAGUGGC
rnacentral:tRNA from 1 species